rnacentral:lncRNA from 1 species
CACCUUCACACUCACUUCUCUGUUAUUCAAGUCUUCAGACCUCACUAAUCUCUGACUCGUCAGUGUCUCUUUGUCAGCUUUCUUUUCUAUCUCUUUCUUAAUCAUUUGUUACAGACUUUCUCACUAUGUACAAGUUUUUUGAGUGCUUCUGCUCACCCUUUAGUAACUAUUCAUCAAAGCUUGAAGUUUCAGGAAGGUCUUAAAUGAGACUUACUCAUACCACUCCUGCCUAUAGGUAGAUGAUGGUACCUCAUGUUGGUAAUUCAGGCUGUUCUUUCACUGUGCAUAUCUUAACAGGCCUAGAAGUCACAGCUCAUCUUAAUACCAUGACAAAUACCAAAUGCAGCAAGUUGCUUUUAUAGGAAAACUUCAGUCAUUAAAAGGGCCUUGAAUUUGUAAGUGUCGUGUCCCAAGUUAACACAGGAUGCUCCCGGCUUACCUUCAGCUGCUGCUUGUCUGGACUGCUGUAUUCUCCUUGUACUAACUUGGCUUUGACCU